UGGGGAAUUUUGGACAAUGGGCGAAAGCCUGAUCCAGCAAUGCCGCGUGCAGGAUGAAGGCCUUCGGGUUGUAAACUGCUUUUGUACGGAACGAAAAAGCUUCUCCUAAUACGAGAGGCCCAUGACGGUACCGUAAGAAUAAGCACCGGCUAACUACGUGCCAGCAGCCGCGGUAAUACGUAGGGUGCGAGCGUUAAUCGGAAUUACUGGGCGUAAAGCGUGCGCAGGCGGUUAUGUAAGACAGAUGUGAAAUCCCCGGGCUCAACCUGGGAACUGCAUUUGUGACUGCAUGGCUAGAGUACGGUAGAGGGGGAUGGAAUUCCGCGUGUAGCAGUGAAAUGCGUAGAUAUGCGGAGGAACACCGAUGGCGAAGGCAAUCCCCUGGACCUGUACUGACGCUCAUGCACGAAAGCGUGGGGAGCAAACAGGAUUAGAUACCCUGGUAGUCCACGCCCUAAACGAUGUCAACUGGUUGUUGGGGAAAUUAGUUUUCUCAGUAACGAAGCUAACGCGUGAAGUUGACCGCCUGGGGAGUACGGCCGCAAGGUUGAAACUUAAAGGAAUU
rnacentral:rRNA from 1 species